GAGCCCUAAGAAGCAGGCCCCAGCACACCAUCUGCAUGUGACUAUUUCAUGUUUUCUGCCCAACUCACUUUUGGAGGCUAGAUGCCUGAUGGAAGUAGAUAUUUGUGAUAUUUGUGUCAUCUCAGCAUCAAUGUUUACUAAAUCUCAGCCCAGAUUUGCAAUUGUUUCCAGGUUUCAGGCAAACAGAGGCACUGAGGACCUAGCAACAAUUGCUACGGAGCUUCCUGGUUGCCAGCAACAGUAAAUGCCACAGAGACACAAAGACUCAACCUUUCACAUGUACACAAUGAAGCCUGGAGCCUGGUUUCCUAUUUCAGACACAACAGAGUCUUCCAGGUAGA